rnacentral:rRNA from 1 species
AUUGAACGCUGGCGGCAGGCCUAACACAUGCAAGUCGAGCGGAUGAAGGGAGCUUGCUCCUGGAUUCAGCGGCGGACGGGUGAGUAAUGCCUAGGAAUCUGCCUGGUAGUGGGGGAUAACGUCCGGAAACGGGCGCUAAUACCGCAUACGUCCUGAGGGAGAAAGUGGGGGAUCUUCGGACCUCACGCUAUCAGAUGAGCCUAGGUCGGAUUAGCUAGUUGGUGGGGUAAAGGCCUACCAAGGCGACGAUCCGUAACUGGUCUGAGAGGAUGAUCAGUCACACUGGAACUGAGACACGGUCCAGACUCCUACGGGAGGCAGCAGUGGGGAAUAUUGGACAGUGGGCGAAAGCCUGAUCCAGCCAUGCCGCGUGUGUGAAGAAGGUCUUCGGAUUGUAAAGCACUUUAAGUUGGGAGGAAGGGCAGUAAGUAAAUACCUUGCUGUUUUGACGUUACCAACAGAAUAAGCACCGGCUAACUUCGUG